GAUGUGGAAGAAGUUGGAGAAUAAUAUAGCUAGAGAAUUAAAAGAAGCUGCUAUUGAACUUGAAUCUAAGUCCUACAGACUCUUGUAGGCUUAAUGGACAAGUCAAGUCUAAGUCAAGAUCUGGUUUCGAAAGCACGUGAAGAACAUGUGGAGAUGAUGAAGAAAAAGUGUCUGAUCUACAAGAUGAAAAGUAAACAUUUACCUGCUGGGCUGUUUGCCUCACAUUUUAGUUACUUCCCGUCAAGAUAUUGACACUGUUUAUUAAAGGAAAAUAUUUUUAUAUUA